GCCCUCGUGGUACAGUGGUUAUGCACUCGGCUGCUAACCAAAAGACUGGCAGUUCAAAUCCACCCAGGGGCU
rnacentral:tRNA from 1 species